AUUGAACGCUGGCGGAAUGCUUUACACAUGCAAGUCGAACGGCAGCGCGGGGGCAGCCCUGGUGGCGAGUGGCGAACGGGUGAGUAAUACAUCGGAACGUGCCCGGUCGUGGGGGAUAACGUAGCGAAAGUUACGCUAAUACCGCAUACGAUCUGAGGAUGAAAGCGGGGGACCUUCGGGCCUCGCGCGAUCGGAGCGGCCGAUGUCAGAUUAGGUAGUUGGUGGGGUAAAGGCCUACCAAGCCGACGAUCUGUAGCUGGUCUGAGAGGACGACCAGCCACACUGGGACUGAGACACGGCCCAGACUCCUACGGGAGGCAGCAGUGGGGAAUUUUGGACAAUGGGCGCAAGCCUGAUCCAGCCAUUCCGCGUGCAGGACGAAGGCCUUCGGGUUGUAGACUGCUUUUGUACGGAACGAAAAGGCUCUGGCUAAUACCUGGGGCUCAUGACGGUACCGUAAGAAUAAGCACCGGCUAACUACGUG
rnacentral:rRNA from 1 species